UAUAAAAGUAGGCGCCAACAUUAUAUUUUGCGGUUUUAAAUAAGAAUUAAUAUAAAAGACCCGUAGUACAAUGGAUCUCUUAGGUAAGAAACAUGUUGUUAGGUACAACGGGUCUCAUACAUAUAAAUUAAAAAAAAUGAGUUAAAAAAAUGAGUGCGAUCAAUUUUUAUCGAGUUCCAUUUUUCUGUUUUGCAUGCUGCCUCUUAUUUUCCAUUUCCCUCCCAAAAUAAACCCUUUCUUCAAUUAACCCUCUUCAAUUUUAUAUUGUUGCAAUUUCAAUUCCUCUGUUGGAUUUCAUCUCCAAAAUUCCAAAGUCCCGAACUUGUUUUUGUUAGCUGCGGCCAGUAUAGUGGACAGCCGUCAUCGUAUAAUCGGAUUUCGCAUGAGCAAAGAACGAGCAGCUCCUCCACGUAUAUUCGGAUUUCCCACCUCCAUGGCUCCACCGUACCCCAACUUUCAUUCACCGCAAAGUUAAAGACUCGGAUUGUUGGAGAUGGAUCCACUCGAUCCAUUGCAGUGUAUCGGCAACAAGAAAAACUAUAGCCAAAGGUUUUAUUUCCGCAUACAGGAAGUUCUUUACUCAAGAAGCUUAUUCAUCAGAACAAAUUGAUGAGAUACGAGAUAUUUGGGUUUAAUAUUUUCUUAAGCAACUAAUUUAAGCUAAUGAAGAAGUCAUAGGAGGAAAGGUAAUCAAUACUUUUUUAAAAUCAUUUUUUAUCUUAUUUUAUUUGUAAAAGUAACUGAGUUGAUGAUGGGUCUUUUGAUUUCUCAGCAAUACUUCCUAACUAUAAUGCUGAUUUGUUAUUGUAUGUUAGCCUAUUCCUGAGGUCUUUUGCAUACUGUGCCUUUUGGUUAUAUAUAUAUUUUUACUGCUAAUUGCUAUGGAUUUCAUUUUGUAAUGUGAAAAACCCUAUUUUUCAUUUAAUUUAUGCCUUUUUGUAAAAAUAUUCUAUGCAAGUCAAGCUCUCAGGAGCAGUUAGUAGCCAACAUUUGACUGCGCUGCUCAUAUAUGGCAACACCUUUAGGUCUUGGAAACGUUGAAGUUGAAAUCAAAAGAUGGUAGUAUGGUAAUUGUUUCGUUUUGGUUCACAACACACACUUUUGGAACAUAUGUUGUGCUGAUGUUUUUGGAAACAAUGGUUGAUUUAUAGUGUCAUGGUUUUUUUUUUUUUUUUAAUGAAUUUAUGGUGUACAUGGUAGAAUGGGAGAAAGCUAAGGGUUAGAUUUUUUUUGUGUAAUGGUGUAAUUGUGGGUGGCACAAAAUUUUAUGGAUGAGUUUUUUGUAAUGGAAUUGAUUGAAUUAUAUAUGAAGUAGGUUUAAAAAUUUAUUUGUCAAGAAAUUUUAUUGAAUUACAUAUUAUGCAGGUUAGUUUUACAAGGAAAUUACCAGGUAAUUAUUGAAAAAAUUGCUGGGAAAAAAAACAAUUUAGAUAUUUUAAUGAUUUGAAAAAAAAACAUAAAGGUUUGCUAACAGACCUGUUAGGUUAAGAACAGAUUUUUCAGGUUAAUGAAUUGAAUAAAUAAAAAAAAAUCAAAGAGACCCCAUAUCUUUCAUAUACGGUCUGAAUUUAAUUUUUCAAAAGGACCUUAUUUCUCUUGUAACGGGUAUGUUUUAUCCAUCAAACAUACCCUAUUUCUUUUACAAUGGGUCUCUUAUCCUUAUUAAUUUAUUCUAAAAGAGGUAAUAUAACAAACCUGGCGUUUUGCAUAACGGGUCUUUUCUCUUUUAAAAAGAGACCCCACCCAUAGAGGCAAUCUGUUUAUACCCCUUAGAUAGAGACCCGUUGAUAGGUGGUUUGUAAAGGAUAUUUCAACGGGUCUCUUUGCUACUUUUUGUAGUAGUGGAUACCAAAAUAGUUAGUAUCUCAAAAGAUCUAACUAUUAAAAGAGAAGUUAAGAUUGGUUUAACUCUUAAUAAAGAAGAAAGAAUCUAUUUAAUUGAUCUAUUAAAAGAAUAUAUCGAUGUUUUUGUCUGGUCAUAUGAAGAUAUGCCAUGAAUAAAUAGAGAAAUUUCUCAACAUACUAUACCAUUAAUUUUAGGAAUGAAACCUGUAAAACAAAAGUUACGUUGAUUGAAACCCGAUUUAGCUCUUAAAAUAAAAGAAGAGGUUCAAAAACAAAUAACUGCAGGUUUUAUCAAAGUAUCCAAAUACCUUGAAUGGGUUGCUAACGUGGUACCAGUUCCUAAGAAAGAUGGUAGGGUAAGAAUGUGUGUCGACUACAGAGAUCUAAAUAAGCCAAGUCUAAAGGAAGAUUUCCCUUUACCACACAUCGAUAUUCUGGUAGAUAAUACAGCUAAUCAUGCACUUCUCUCAUUCAUGGAUGGGUACGCAGGUUAUAACCGUCGUGGUCGAAGAAGACAUGGAAAAUACCACCUUUAUAACACCUUAGGGCACUUAAUAUUACACAAUGAUGUCAUUUGGGUUAAAAAAUUAUAUGCGGGUGCCACUUACCAAAGAGCAGUGACUGCCUUGAUCCAUGACAUGAUGCAUAAAAAGGUUGAAUUAUGUGUGAACGAUAUGAUUAUAAUAUUGAAAGAUCGUCCCGAACAUCAAAUAGCCUUGAGAAGGUUCUUUAAAAGAUUAAGAAAAUACAACAUGAGGCUAAACCCAGCGAAGUGUGCUUCUGAAGUCACCUUAGGAAAACUCUUAGGCUAUGUUAUUAGCUCUAGAGGAAUAGAAAU